UACAGAGGGGGCAAGCGUUGUUCGGAAUUAUUGGGCGUAAAGGGCGCGUAGGCGGUUUUUUAAGUCGGAUGUGCAAUCCCCAGGCUCAACCUGGGAACUGCAUUUGUGACUGCAAGACUAGAGUGCGGCAGAGGGGGGUAGAAUUCCACGUGUAGCAGUGAAAUUCGUAGAUAUGUGGAGGAAUACCGAUGGCGAAGGCAGCCCCCUGGGUCGACACUGACGCUCAUGCACGAAAGCGUGGGGAUCAAACAGG
rnacentral:rRNA from 1 species